rnacentral:rRNA from 1 species
CCUACGGGAGGCAGCAGUGGGGAAUAUUGGGCAAUGGGCGCAAGCCUGACCCAGCAACGCCGCGUGAAGGAAGAAGGCUUACGGGUUGUAAACUUCUUUUCUCAGGGACGAAGCAAGUGACGGUACCUGAGGAAUAAGCCAAGGCUAACUACGUGCCCGCAGCCGCGGCAAUACGUAGGUGGCAAGCAUUAUCCGGAUUUACGGGUUGUAAAGGGCGUGUAGGCGGGAUAGCUAGUGAGAUGUGAAAAGCAUGGGCUCAACCUGUGGCCUGACUUUGAAACUGUUUUUCUUGAGUACUGGAGAGGCAGACGGAAUUCGUGGUGUAGCGGUGAAAUGCGUAGAUAUCAGGAGGAACACCAGUGGCGAAGGCAGUCUGCUGGACAGCAACUGACGCUGAGGCGCGAAAGCGUGGGGAGCAAACAGGAUUAGAUACCCCUGUAGUC